rnacentral:rRNA from 1 species
AACGAACGCUGGCGGCAGGCCUAACACAUGCAAGUCGAACGCCGUAGCGAUACGGAGUGGCAGACGGGUGAGUAACGCGUGGGAACAUACCCCUCGGUUCGGAAUAACUCAGGGAAACUUGAGCUAAUACCGGAUACGUCCAAGGUUUUAAUCGACCUUGGAGAAAGAUUUAUCGCCGGAGGAUUGGCCCGCGUCUGAUUAGCUUGUUGGUGAGGUAAUGGCUCACCAAGGCGACGANCAGUAGCUGGUCUGAGAGGAUGAUCAGCCACAUUGGGACUGAGACACGGCCCAAACUCCUACGGGAGGCAGCAGUGGGGAAUAUUGGACAAUGGGCGAAAGCCUGAUCCAGCCAUGCCGCGUGAGUGAUGAAGGCCUUAGGGUUGUAAAGCUCUUUACCCGGGAAGAUAAUGACGGUACCGGGAGAAUAAGCCCCGGCUAACUUCGUGCCAGCCGCCGCCGUAAC